GUACCCACUGGAAAGCAGAAGCAUGGUGGGCAGUUGUCAACUAGAAGGGAUUUCGGCAGAAUCCAAUCCCUUGUGGAAACUCUACAGCAAAAGCAGCCAUUUUCUUCUGUAUCAACCAUAAGAAAAAAAAAUGAGAUGGAGAGGAAAUCUGUAAAGUAAAAGACAUUUAAAGAUACAUAUCAACCAAUGACACAGUUGAGACCUUGUUGGAUACCAAUUCAAGUAAAUUAAAACAAUUAAAAAGCCAGUAAAAUAUGAGCAAUGAGUGGAUACUUAAUUAUACUAAAGAAUUACUAUUAACUUAGGUGUGACAAUAUUGUGGUUAUGCUUUUUUAAAUAGUCCUCAUUUUCUAGAGAUGCAUAUGAAAUAUUUAUAGAAGAAAUGAGAUGACAUUUUGGAUUUACUUCAAAAUAAUGCAGGUGCUGGGGAUGGGUGGGAAUACAGAUAAUGGAAUAUUAUCCAUGUAAUAAUGAUCAUUGUUGAAGUCAGGUACACUGGCUUCAUUAUACUAGUUUCUCUAUUUCUGUAUAUGUUCAAAUUUUUCUAUGAUAAAAAAUAAAAAGGAGAUAUCUAACUGAACAGAUAUUUAAAGAGGUUAAAAGGCAGAGGGCUACAUCAAUUGAGGGAGAUGCACAUUUUCAAAGAAGCAGGAAGAGAAGAGACACAAGCACAGGCAUCACACAGAAAGCCACGCACACAACUCAGGGCUCCUUGGGAUGCUAACUGAUUUCUUGGUCUCUUAGACACUGUGUCUAAAAGAGAAGGAAAAUUGGAUAAAGAUUAUAUUCCGGGAGGCAAUUAAACAGUUUUAAGCUCUGUUAGAUUCUACAGCAAGAAUCAAAAAGAAAUAGAAAAGCACAGUCCAUCAUUCUCAUUGCACUGUAUUUUUUAGAAAAAAAAUGAACAUUUAUUCACAACUUACAAAGUAAGUCAGUUCACAUUGACCCUACUGAUGCUGAGAAAGCAAAUUCAAAAGAAGUUUCAGAAAGCAACAGAAGAAAAAGCAGGUUUGUCACGGAUGACAGGUUGAAAAUGGGAGGGACAGGGCAUGAGGUAUGGGUGAACUCUGUGUGCGUUUUUCAUAAUGGAGCCUGAAGCAGUACAGUUAGCCCUCGGACAGGGAGCAAAUGACCUCAUUUGAGUCCUUUCUUUCACACUUUCUAAGCCUGGACCUUAUUUUUUCCAAGCCUCAGUUUCCUGCUUUGGCGUGUACACUGAAUUGGCUCCAGGGCGCGGUGUGGGGAUUUAUGUCGGCAAGUGUGCUCUGUCAACUGUAAAGCCGACACUUUCCAUCACCCAAAGGAACUGCAGGACCUGGCACAUAAUGGGUGAUUAAUAAAUCUGACUCUAGUACUGGAGCUCGGGGCCAUUAUGGUUUAAAGGCAAACAUGAGGCAACUCCUGGCAUCAAGAUUUUCUCCUGUAUUGCAUUUCAAAUGCUUCUCCCAAACCAAAGGCUCAGCAAUUUUCACUCAGCAUUACAAGGCCAAGAAGAAAUCAGGCUGUAAAUUGGCUUUGGACUUUUCUGGUUUUGUUUUGACUCUUGUUUGAAAUAUAGGUUUAAAAAAAAUGUUUCUAGCAGCUUUAAUGUAAAAGCAGUGUAAUUCUUAAGAACACAAGUAUUUGGAUUAAAAUCCUAGUCUCAUUAUUUCCAAGCUCAGUGACCUUGGGCAAAUGACCUUACCUCUCUAAACCUUAAUCUCCUCAUCUGUAUAACAAGGAUUACAAUGCCUUUUUCUGGACUGUUGUAAGGAUUAAAUGAGAUAAAAUUUUGUAUAUAAAGUGUUUAGCCAGUCCUGGAACAUAAGAAAUGUCUGUAAUAAUAAUAGAAUUACUAGCAGUACUUUGAUUAACAAUCAUGCUAGGCAAUUUCUUAGAGGUCUUCUCUUCCCAAAUUUGCUGUGGUCUUGACUGGAGUAACCUGAGCUCUAAGUUGAGAACAGUAAACACACAGUAUAUAAAUUAAGGAGAAGGAAUGUCAUCAGUCCUCCUUUUAAGACAACCUCUUAGAAAGUUACAUCCCUCCAUAUACACUUUCCCCCAUCAGGUAUGGUCUUGGAUGAUUACCUUAACAAAUAAAAUGGACAGAAUGGGACUGGAAACACUGCCCCAAAUUCCACAGCCACUAAAAAAUCAUGAGUAUAAGAGUAAAUAUCACAGUCUAUCAUUUGUGAACAUUUCAAUGUCUACAUUAUUGAUUUGACCAUUCCUAACACCUGCCCCUACUCACUGGUCUUAGAAUCUCAUUUAACCACAGUAUCAGAAUUAUAUAUUUAAACUUUAUACAGGUAACAGCCUAUAUAUGAAUAGCAACAUAAAAAUAAUUUGCCUCCCCUUUCUCAGGUUUGGAAUGGAGAAACAAAUCACAAAUCACAAAAUUAUUCUCAUAUACUUAAUAUAGAAGAAAGCAGUUUGUCUCAGUAUUAAUGAUCACUUCCUUCUUAAUGUUUUGCAGGUUUUUCUUUUUUCUUUUUUCUUUUUUUUUUUUUUGAGAUGGAGCCUCGCUCUGUCGCCAGGCUGGAGUGGAGUGGCGUGAUCUCGGCUCACUGCAACCUCCGCCCCCAGGUUUAAGUGAUUCUCCUGCCUCAGCCUCCCAAGUAGCUGGGACUACAGGUGCACACCACCACACCCAGCUACUUUUUGUAUUUUUAGUAGAGACGGGGUUUCACCAUGUUGGCCAGGAUGGUCUCGAUCUCUUGACCUCAUGAUCUGCCCACCUUGGCCUCCCAAAGUGUUGGGAUUACAGGUGUGAGCCACCGCAUCCGGCCAGGUUUUUCUAUAAGACUUCGUUUUCCUCUCUCAUUCCUUUUUCUUUUUCUAUCCAAGAAGCAUAUGCACAUACUGUUUUCUCAAGAGCUAAGCUACAUUGAGGUUUCCCUUCAAGAACCCACUUUUUACC
rnacentral:lncRNA from 10 species